UUUGGACUAGGGGCCCUUCUCGGGUUACCGAAUUCAGAUAAACUCCGAAUGCCAUGUACUUAUACUCGGGAGUCAGACUGCGAGUGAUAAGAUCCGUAGUCGAAAGGGAAACAGCCCAGACCACCAGUUAAGGUCCCCAAAUAUAUGUUAAGUGGAAAAGGAUGUGGGGUUGCUUAGACAACCAGGAUGUUGGCUUAGAAGCAGCCACCAUUGAAAGAGUGCGUAAUAGCUCACUGGUCGAGUGACCCCGCGCCGAAAAUGUACCGGGGCUAAACAUAUUACCGAAACUGUGGAUGAACCUCUUUAGAGGUUCGUGGUAGGAGAGCGUUCUAAGGGCGGUGAAGUCAGACCGGAAGGACUGGUGGAGCGCUUAGAAGUGAGAAUGCCGGUAUGAGUAGCGAAAGAAGGGUGAGAAUCCCUUCCACCGAAUAUCUAAGGUUUCCUGAGGAAGGCUCGUCCGCUCAGGGUUAGUCGGGACCUAAGCCGAGGCCGAUAGGCGUAGGCGAUGGACAACAGGUAGAGAUUCCUGUACCAGUGCUAAUUGUUUAACCGAUGGGGUGACACAGAAGGAUAGGGAAUCGCACGAAUGGAAAUGUGCGUCCAAGCAGUGAGUGUGAG
rnacentral:rRNA from 1 species